UACGGAGGGAGCUAGCGUUGUUCGGAUAUACUGGGCGUAAAGCGCACGUAGGCGGCGCAGCAAGUCAGGGGUGAAAUCCCGGAGCUCAACUCCGGAACUGCCUUUGAAACUGCAGUGCUAGAAUCCUGGAGAGGCGAGUGGAAUUCCGAGUGUAGAGGUGAAAUUCGUAGAUAUUCGGAAGAACACCAGUGGCGAAGGCGACUCGCUGGACAGGUAUUGACGCUGAGGUGCGAAAGCGUGGGGAGCAAACAGG
rnacentral:rRNA from 1 species